AUAUUGCGCAAUGGGGGGAACCCUGACGCAGCAACGCCGCGUGAGCGAAGAAGGCCUUCUGGUCGUAAAACUCUGUCAUUAGGGAAGAAAAAAAUGACGGUACCUAAUGAGGAAGCCCCGGCUAACUACUUGCCAGCAGCCGCGGUAAUACGUAGGGGGCAAGCGUUGUCCGGAAUUACUGGGCGUAAAGGGUGCGUAGGCGGCCUGAUAAGUCAGAUGUGAAAUACCAGGGCUCAACCUUGGGGGUGCAUUUGAAACUGUUAGGCUUGAGUGCAGGAGAGGAAAGUGGAAUUCCUAGUGUAGCGGUGAAAUGCGUAGAGAUUAGGAGGAACACCAGUGGCGAAGGCGACUUUCUGGACUGUAACUGACGCUGAGGCACGAAAGCGUGGGGAGCGAAC
rnacentral:rRNA from 1 species